CGAACGGGUGAGUAACACGUGAGUAACCUGCCCUUGACUCUGGGAUAACAGCUGGAAACAGCUGCUAAUACCGGAUAUCAACCUCGUUGGCAUCUUCGAGGUUUGAAAGCUACGGCGGUCAUGGAUGGACUCGCGGCCUAUCAGCUUGUUGGUGAGGUAAUGGCUCACCAAGGCGACGACGGGUAGCCGGCCUGAGAGGGCGACCGGCCACAUUGGGACUGAGAUACGGCCCAA
rnacentral:rRNA from 1 species